GAUGAACGCUGGCGGCGUGCCUAAUACAUGCAAGUCGAGCGAACAGAUAAGGAGCUUGCUCCUUUGACGUUAGCGGCGGACGGGUGAGUAACACGUGGAUAACCUACCUAUAAGACUGGGAUAACUUCGGGAAACCGGAGCUAAUACCGGAUAACAUAUUGAACCGCAUGGUUCAAUAGUGAAAGGCGGCUUUGCUGUCACUUAUAGAUGGAUCCGCGCCGUAUUAGCUAGUUGGUAAGGUAACGGCUUACCAAGGCAACGAUACGUAGCCGACCUGAGAGGGUGAUCGGCCACACUGGAACUGAGACACGGUCCAGACUCCUACGGGAGGCAGCAGUAGGGAAUCUUCCGCAAUGGGCGAAAGCCUGACGGAGCAACGCCGCGUGAGUGAUGAAGGUCUUCGGAGCGUAAAACUCUGUUAUCAGGGAAGAACAAAUGUGUAAGUAACUGUGCACAUCUUGACGGUACCUGAUCAGAAAGCCACGGCUAACUACGUG
rnacentral:rRNA from 1 species